rnacentral:pre_miRNA from 1 species
AGGCAAAGCUCCUCUUCAGUAAAUUAUCAUGAUUUUACCGGGAGGUACUUGGCUUAA